AUUAUUCAAAUAAAUGGUAAGAUACUAGGUGGGCGGUGACUUCUUAAGCUUUGUAUAAAUCCCAAUACAUUUCAGGAACUGGAGAUCCCCUUAUUAAUACAUAUAUUCAAAUAUUCUGAGAAGUAUCAAAACAAAAAUCUCUGAGAAUAUUAUAAUUUUAAUGGUUCCUUAUAACACGCAGCAUUUAUUAGUCUUUUAAAAUCCAAUAAAUCCCCCUGCCUAGAUUAGCCCUAUUGACUAGAUAAAAGUGAUAGAUGUAUUCAAGAAAAAAGGAAUAAAAUGAAAAGUAAAAGGUUACCUUCCCAUUCUGGCUGCCUCCCAUCCAGUUUCUCUCUUUAAAGGUAACCACUCUUAACAGAUUCUGGCAUCUCCAUCCAGGGAAAAAUCUUACGCAUGUAGUAGAUAGACCGUGUCUAUCCUUUGUUUUUAAUUA